rnacentral:rRNA from 1 species
UACGUAGGGUGCAAGCGUUGUCCGGAAUUAUUGGGCGUAAAGAGCUCGUAGGCGGUUUGUCGCGUCUGCUGUGAAAACUCGGGGCUUAACCCUGAGCUUGCAGUGGGUACGGGCAGACUAGAGUGCGGUAGGGGAGACUGGAAUUCCUGGUGUAGCGGUGAAAUGCGCAGAUAUCAGGAGGAACACCGGUGGCGAAGGCGGGUCUCUGGGCCGUAACUGACGCUGAGGAGCGAAAGCAUGGGGAGCGAACAGG